rnacentral:piRNA from 1 species
UGACCUGUCUUGGAUUCCUGUGACAAGGAU